GAUGAAGAACGUAGCGAAAUGCGAUACGUAAUGUGAAUUGCAGAAUUCAGUGAAUCAUCGAAUCUUUGAACGCAUAUUGCGCUCUCUGGUAUUCCGGAGAGCAUGCUUGUUUGAGUAUCAGUAAACACCUCAACUCCCUUUUCUUUUUGAAAUUGGAGCUGGACUUGAGUGAUCCCAACGCUUUCUUCCAAGAAAGUGGCGGGUUGCUUGAAAUGCAGGUGCAGCUGAACUUUUCUCUGAGCUAUAAGCAUAUCUAUUUAGUCUGCCUAAAAAACAGAUUAUUACCUUUGCUGCAGCUAACAUAAAGGAGACUAGUUCUUGUGCUGACUGAUGCAGGAUUCACAGAGACAGCUUCGGCUGACUUUGUAAACUCGAUCUCAAAUCAAGUAAGACUACCCGCUGAACUUAAGCAUAUCAAUAAGCGGAGGA
rnacentral:misc_RNA from 1 species